rnacentral:rRNA from 1 species
AUGAGUUACUUAACAAGAGAAGGCAGGAGUUUCCUACCUUUCUUCUGCAAAUCCGGAAUGCCUUUAUGGCAUGAUCAUGUGAAAAAGUACCUUGAUGCAGUAAUGGAUUUGAUUAUCACUGGUUACUCUGUUUUCACGAAUUACUAUCCAACAGCAUGGAAGAACCAAAAGGUAGUUGAUCAGCAGGAUGGCAAGAGGAAGACAAGAACCAAAUUAAAGUUUGUUGUUGUGCAUGUCUGUAUCUAUCAAGAUUCAGUGCUAUGUAGAAAUGUCCCUGAGAUUUGUUUCACUCAACGAGACCAAACAAUCAGGAACACAAGUAGGAUAGUUGAUGCUUUUUUCAUUUUUCUUCUGAUAAAAAGGAAUCUUCAUCUGCCAAGAAUAAGGCCUACAAGCAUGUAUGCCUAA